CCUGUGGAGGAGGACGCCGAAGGUGGGGCUAAUGACUGGGGUGAAGUCGUAACAAGGUAGCCGUACCGGAAGGUGCGGCUGGAUCACCUCCUAACAGGGAGACAACAAAAUGUUAAAUAUUAAUUUUGUCACCUUAGGUCGAUCGGUAUCUCACAUUCUUAAUUUAUUAAGGAUUUUAUUUCCUAAGUUUUUUCUAGGUCACACCCAUUACUUUUCCUGGGCCAUUAGCUCAGGUGGUUAGAGCGCACCCCUGAUAAGGGUGAGGUCCCUGGUUCAAGUCCAGGAUGGCCCAUAUCUCUAUGUUGGGGGUAUAGCUCAGUUGGUAGAGCGCCUGCUUUGCAAGCAGGAUGUCAGCGGUUCGAGUCCGCUUACCUCCACUGAUUACCACCUCUUCCAUAAUUUUUGGAAUUGUUUUGAGUUGUGAUCAAAAUCUGAACGAAUCUAGCUUCCUAAUCAAACUUAUUAAGAUGCUGGACUCAUUGAAUUAAUUUCAUUGUUUUCAGAGAACCUUGACAACUGCAUAGAUUAUUUUUAAAGACAAUAAGCAUCUUUAAUGAUGCAGAUUUAUUAUUUGUGCGAAUGCAUUAAUAACAAUUCUAUUAAGCUGAUGCUUCAAUUUUUGAAGUUAUUGGUCAAGCUACAAAGGGCUCACGGAGGAUACCUAG
rnacentral:misc_RNA from 1 species